CACACACACAUUAAGUCUCUCGUCCUCCUCCUAUGCUGUUAGACUUCACUACACAGCUCUCCUUGAAGGAUGUGAAAGAGGUCUAAUUGGCUCCAGAGCCCAACUUCCAUGUUUUCAUGGUCAAUCAAGCGAUCUUGAUCCUGCAGAGACAGCAGAGCAGGGUAACACAGCUAUGGUGGAUGGAGAGACGGGAGCCCACAUUAAGCCAAGCGAAAACCUGAGAGAGAAAGCGGCUCCACCGCCACAGAGUGGGAAUCAGUGUAGCAGAGCAAAGACAAGAAACAGGGGAGCUAUAUAGAGCAAUGCUUUGAAGUCAUGGGAAAAUAAACUGCAAUUGUGGGAGGCCAGAUUUUUGUUACAGUUUUUCUAAAUAGUGUGGAAACAUUUUUUUUAAAAGGUACCCAAGUUUUUUUUUUUUAAAUACUAAAAUGUUUAUUUACAUAAUUCUGCUAACGUGUGUAAGGUCUGCCUCCAGCUCCAGUCCUCAACCUAACUCCUAAUCCCAUGAACACACCUCACGUUCUCAAUCCCAUGGAUGCACCUCAUUCUCCUAUUCACCUAAACGCACUUCACUCUCCCAAUCCUAUAAAUACACCUCACCCUACCAAUCACCUGAACGCACCUCACUCUCCCAAUCCCAUAAAUACACCUCACUCUCCCAAUCACCUGAACGCACCUCACUCUCCCAAUCCCAUAAAUACACCUCACUCUCCCAAUCACCUGAACGCACCUCACUCUCCCAAACCCAUAAAUACACCUCACCCUACCAAUCACCUGAACGCACCUCACUCUCCCAAUCCCAUAAAUACACCUCACUCUCCCAAUCACCUGAACGCACCUCACUCUCCCAAUCCCAUAACUACACCUCACUCUCCCAAUCACCUGAACGCACCUCACUCUCCCAAACCCAUAAAUACACCUCACUCUCCCAAUCACCUGAACGCACCUCACUCUCCAAAUCCCCUGAACGUACCUCACUUCUCAGAUCACAAUCACCUGAAUUCUAGUCACCAGUUCACUCAUUUGUUUCUCAUUGGCUCCACUAUUUAGUUCUGUUCAGUGCUCCUUUGUAAGAUAUUGUUUGUUUUUGUCAACAUUACUAAGCUGGCUCAGAUCUUCUCUUCUCAAUUAUUAGCCUUGUGUACUGACCAGUUUAUAGCCUUAACCCGACCUGUGCCUUAGCCUGUUCAUCCUGUAUAUCCGUGUCUGCCUGCUGACCACGACAUCAGCCUGCUCAUCUGGAUUGUUUGCCAAUAAAGCCCGCUGACCACGACAUCAGCCUGCUGACCACGACAUCAGCCUGCUCAUCUGGAUUGUUUGCCAAUAAAGCCUGCUGACCACGACAUCAGCCUGCUGACCACGACAUCAGCCUGCUGACCACGACAUCAGCCUGCUGCGCUCUGCACUUGAUCUCUUACCUCCUCUUCUGAGUAGUCAUUACAACGCUGCUUGUGUGGAUGUACUGUAGGUGCUGGGGCUUGCCAUGGAUGGAGGGGUUAAUUGACACACUGCCAGGCCAGGGAAAGUUCCCUGCGUGAUGGAGCCGAAAGUCUGUGGCCAGAGGAAAAAAGUGUCUGCCAAAGGCUUCAGAUUCCCUGAGGACUACCUUGAAAAGUGCAUCUAACAUUGAGUGCCGUUCAGUGUGCCUGACGGUCCAUCUGUGCUGAGCCUCCCAGUGGGAACUCAUGCCCAGUAAACAUUCCUCCACUUUCCUCUCCAUCCUGGCUGGCACAGCAGCCAAAACUCUGUGACAACCGAAACCACCGGGGAAAUCCGCCAACACUUGGCUAAUGUCAUAAACAGAUGUUUAUUUAUUUUAAUAGAUAUAUCCACAGUAUAAGAAUGUGAC